AUGAUGACUUCAACACAAGUCCUGGUGAGAAGAACGCGGGAGCUAGGAUAUAGAGCCAGAUGUUGUGCAACUAAACUUUCAAUUGUGUCGGUUGACUCUUGUGAAAGCGGCACAAAGCCUCAUAACAGAAGACGAUGGUGUCGUGGUGAGCACCAGCGAGAUGCGGGGACGCCGGCAAGGUAUCGGCCAGGAGUGACCUGGAGCCGGCGAUGA
rnacentral:rRNA from 1 species